ACACAUGCAAGUCUACUUGAAUUUGGGUUUUUAACUUAGAUUUGGGUGGCGGACGGGUGAGUAACGCGUAAAGAACUUGCCUCACAGCUAGGGACAACAUUUGGAAACGAAUGCUAAUACCUGAUAUUAUGAUUUUAAGGCAUCUUAGAAUUGUGAAAGCUAUACGCGCUGUGAGAGAGCUUUGCGUCCCAUUAGCUAGUUGGAGAGGUAACGGCUCACCAAGGCGAUGAUGGGUAGCCGGCCUGAGAGGGUGAACGGCCACAAGGGGACUGAGACACGGCCCUUACUCCUACGGGAGGCAGCAGUGGGGAAUAUUGGACAAUGGACCAAGAGUCUGAUCCAGCAAUUCUGUGUGCACGAUGACGUUUUUCGGAAUGUAAAGUGCUUUCAGUUGGGAAGAAAAAAAUGACGGUACCAACAGAAGAAGUGACGGCUAAAUACGUGCCAGCAGCCGCGGUAAUACGUAUGUCACGAGCGUUAUCCGGAUUUAUUGGGCGUAAAACGCGUCUAGGUGGUUAUGUAAGUCUGAUGUGAAAAUGCAGGGCUCAACUCUGUAUUGCGUUGGAAACUGUGUAACUAGAGUACUGGAGAGGUAAGCGGAACUACAAGUGUAGAGGUGAAAUUCGUAGAUAUUUGUAGGAAUGCCGAUGGGGAAGCCAGCUUACUGGACAGAUACUGACGCUGAAGCGCGAAAGCGUGGGUAGCAAACAGGAUUAGAUACCCUGGUAGUCCACGCCGUAAACGAUGAUUACUAGGUGUUGGGGGUCGAACCUCAGCGCCCAAGCAAACGCGAUAAGUAUCCGCCUGGGGAGUACGUACGCAAG
rnacentral:rRNA from 1 species